AGAUGGGGUAGAGGCUGCGGUUAUUAAGAGUAUUCCAGAAGAGGGACAGGAAUCCCCAACGAGACUGGACGAAAGGAACAACCGCCGAAGCGCCGCGGGACCCUGCCUGCGGUAAGCUGGGGCUGUAUCCGAACAGGUGCAGCACUGUCAUGGCAUUGCCAUGGUGAACUAUCCGUUUU
rnacentral:ncRNA from 2 species